GACGAACGCUGGCGGCGCGCCUAACACAUGCAAGUCGAACGAGCGAGCGAGAGCUUGCUUUCUUGAGCGAGUGGCGAACGGGUGAGUAACGCGUGAGGAACCUGCCUCAAAGAGGGGGACAACAGUUGGAAACGACUGCUAAUACCGCAUAAGCCCACGGUGCCGCAUGGCACGGAGGGAAAAGGAGCAAUCCGCUUUGAGAUGGCCUCGCGUCCGAUUAGCUAGUUGGUGAGGUAACGGCCCACCAAGGCGACGAUCGGUAGCCGGACUGAGAGGUUGAACGGCCACAUUGGGACUGAGACACGGCCCAGACUCCUACGGGAGGCAGCAGUGGGGAAUAUUGCACAAUGGGGGAAACCCUGAUGCAGCGACGCCGCGUGGAGGAAGAAGGUCUUCGGAUUGUAAACUCCUGUUGUUGGGGAAGAUAAUGACGGUACCCAACAAGGAAGUGACGGCUAACUACGUG
rnacentral:rRNA from 1 species